UUCUAUAGCUAUUAAUAAGUGGAGAGCUUUUAACUCUUUGAUACAUAUUAAAUUAUGUUGGAGA